ensembl:Mt_tRNA
AGCUCCGAGGUGGAUUCUCAUGUUGAAUUGCAAGUUCAAAGAAGCAGCUUCAAUGCUGCCGGGGCUU